rnacentral:rRNA from 1 species
UACGGGGGGGGCAAGCGUUGUUCGGAAUUACUGGGCGUAAAGGGCUUGUAGGUGGCCAACUAAGUCAGACGUGAAAUCCCUCGGCUUAACCGGGGAACUGCGUCUGAUACUGGAUGGCUUGAGUGUGGGAGAGGGAUGCGGAAUUCCAGGUGUAGCGGUGAAAUGCGUAGAUAUCUGGAGGAACACCGGUGGCGAAGGCGGCAUCCUGGACCAUUACUGACACUGAUAAGCGAAAGCCAGGGGAGUAAACGGG